rnacentral:rRNA from 1 species
GACGAACGCUGGCGGCGUGCUUAACACAUGCAAGUCGAACGAGUGGCGAACGGGUGAGUAAUACGUGGGAACCUUCCCUCCUUUUUGGGAUAAGCCUUGGAAACGGGGUCUAAUACCGAAUACAGUGGGAUGUGCUCUCGGCCUAUCAGCUUGUGGGUGGGGUGAUGGCCUACCAAGGCGGUGACGGGUAGCCGGCCUGAGAGGGGGACCGGCCACAUUGGGACUGAGACACGGUCCAGACUCCUACGGGAGGCAGCAGUGGGGAAUAUUGGACAAUGGGCGAAAGCCUGAUCCAGCCAUGCCGCGGGUGUGAAGAAGGUCUUCGGAUUGGAAAGCACUUUAAGUUGGGAGGCGUUACCAACAGAAUAAGCACCGGCUAACUUCGUGCCAGCAGCCGCGGUAAUAC